rnacentral:rRNA from 1 species
GACGAACGCUGGCGGCGUGCUUAACACAUGCAAGUCGAACGGAAAGGCCCUGCUUGCAGGGUACUCGAGUGGCGAACGGGUGAGUAACACGUGGGUGAUCUGCCCUGCACUUCGGGAUAAGCCUGGGAAACUGGGUCUAAUACCGGAUAGGAGCCAUUUUUAGUGUGAUGGUUGGAAAGUUUUUUCGGUGUAGGAUGAGCUCGCGGCCUAUCAGCUUGUUGGUGGGGUAAUGGCCUACCAAGGCGGCGACGGGUAGCCGGCCUGAGAGGGUGGACGGCCACAUUGGGACUGAGAUACGGCCCAGACUCCUACGGGAGGCAGCAGUGGGGAAUAUUGCACAAUGGGCGCAAGCCUGAUGCAGCGACGCCGCGUGGGGGAUGACGGCCUUCGGGUUGUAAGCUCCUUUCGCUAGGGACGAAGCUUUUUGUGACGGUACCUAGAGAAGAAGCACCGGCUAACUACGUG